UCUCUCUUGAGGAAAAUACUGCAUACUGAAACUGUCCAUGACAGGCAGUGUACCAGAGCCUGGGGUAAUUUCUCCAGCAGCUAACUAUCCAUAAAAUUGUGCCAGAUGCAUCCUCAGGUUCUCCAUCAGCCAGUAGAGCCAAGAGAAGGGGCAGCCCAGAGGGGAAACCACUGACUGCUGCAAAUAAGCCAAAGUCUAUCUGCUCAGAUUCACAUAGAUGAAGGAGGCAGAUGAUGUUGUACUGAUGCCUUAAGGAGAUUAAAGUCAUAGGUUUGAGGGUUGCUGGAACGUGUGGAAUAAACAGUCUGAGUCUUCUUUCUUCCAU
ensembl:lncRNA